AGGCACUGGCGGCAGCUGGCGGGGCCCCUGAUCCUCACGGACUUCCUCCUCCCUCCGCUGUCUCCCCGGCCUCCCUGGGCUUUCCAGGAGAGCCGUCCACGCCUGCUGUGGGAGGAAGACGCUUUCCUGAGGCAGGGGCCAGGCAGCUUCUGUUGGCGCCUGGAACAGCUUCCGCUCAUCGCUUCUGGCGGCACACACUGCGGAGGUGAGACUGCAAAUGCCGCCCGCCCCACGUGGUGCAGGCUGAGUGCUCUGGUGUUUGUCCAAGCUGUUCCAAGCCCAGGAGGUCGGACUCUCACCGUCGUCUUGGUGAUGGCAACGCUGUGUCCUGCCCCACCUCGUGGCUGCCCCCACCUGUACCGGUGACAAUAGCGUAUGGCUUCCCGCACCAAGUGCACACAGUACACUAGCGACAGGCACAAAGGCAACAUGAAACGGGCUGCUCUGUGCUCGGGUGUCGCAGAAGCACGGGCCAGAGAGCCGGUGGCUGCCCAGGACCAAAGGGACCCACAUCGACCUGCUGGGCACUGGGGCCUAGAGAGUGACCAGAGCGUGAUUAGAAGAGGCCGGAUCACAGGGAGCCCCAGUCCACUGAACCACAUCCAGAAGGUAGAAAGGUUGUUUCUCUCCCCUGGAUGCCUGUGGGGGUGGGGACGGCAGAGCCUCGGACACUGCCCGGGGAUCACUCUCAGGCUACUUUUCCCACCCUGCCAAGCUGCUCGAGACGUCAAAGGAGACCAGGCCGGUCAGCACACAGGCUUCUGGUAAGUGCCGCCCUCCGGUCUGGGAGCUCAGCUCUCCCCUUCUGACUCACCGCUCGGCGCUGACUCAUCGUGACGGCGAGUGGGGCUCCAGCUCCGCGGCAUUUCAUAGACAGCGCGGUCACAUUCCUUUCCAACAGUCGCUCUGGCCUCGAUGUCUAAGGCUCCGUGGGCAGCCGGCCUGUGGAUGAGGCGGCGGAAACCACAUCCUCUUCAUCAUCCUCUCACGAGGAAGGACACUGACAGCUUCGGAGAAGGCUGCCCAGUGUCUGCGGGUGCCCUUGGGAGAUGGCCUUGGGACACGGUGCCUGUGCCUGUGUGUGUACACCACGUGUGAACGCCAACUGGGAACACGGCCCCUUCGUAGGCAAACCCAGGCCUCCUGGAAGUCACAAGUUGAUAGCUGUACUCGCCCCUUUUGGAAGACGCACGCCCAAGGCACCCGUGUGUGCACACGUAUCCGUGUGUGGACCUCUGUCCACACGUGUGUGUUUUGAAAAGCCUUUCUCACCACAUGUUAGGAUCACAAGUGUUCAAAAUCUAGGCACACUUUUCAGAAGUUAUUUCUGGAAAAAAUGUUGAAUCUCAUAACAGCAAUAAAAGGAAAAUACCGCCUCAGCCAACAUAAAUGUCUCCUUGGAACAUGCCUGAAAAGCGGCGGAGUAUUUGUGUAAGUUUCAAUUCCAGCGUCAGAGCCUGCAGCUUGGCCGAGGCCGGGUUCUGCACAGGAGGGUGCACGGUCCCUUUCCGAAAGCCCCUCACCGGACUUCUGGGAACUCCCAACCCAUCCCGGGAACCCCACCUGCCGGCCCCGGAUCCGGAUGGGCUCCUGAUGUAUCCCACAGAGGGGAUGCCAACGUCAGACACCAGCAGGCUGGGGAGGAGCGGCUGUGAGGUGCAGCCGGCGGGUGGGCGGCCAGCCUCCAGGACAGACCUCGGAGGAGGCUGGGGGCUGCCUGCUGCCCUCGGGGCCCUGUGGUCCCACCACACCCGUGCCUGUCCCAGUGAUCCUCAUGUCACCGGCCCAGUGAGAGGCUGCUGCUACCAACCCCGCCAGCCUGCAGGCCGCUGAGUGCUGGGCUGCUCCUCCUCAGAGGAUGAGCGUGGGAAUAACCCAGUGGGGCGAGGAUGCUGACGGCGCCAUGGAUGUCCACUGAGGGCCCGAGAUGGGCCAGGCCGAGCUCUGUGCUUUGGAGUCAGAUCUCAUUUAAACCCAGCAGCACAUCCCAUUUCACACGUGGGAAGGUGGGGGAGUCAGGAUCAGAGAGCAGGGUGUCGCAUGGGGGAGCAGCCGGGCUGCGAUGUGAACCCUACAGUCUGCCCAUGAGCCGCACUCCUGGGCUGGACACUCCAGAGCCUUCUCAAGCAGCUUUCUUGGGGCUCCCUGAGCACCUGGCUGGAUGCUGCUGGUCUGGAACUCUGGACGGGGGCCCCGGGAGCUGACCUGCAAAGCUGUAGAGCGACUGUGAGGCACUGGCAGCUUUGCAGCCCCUCUGGACCCAGGGUGGGGUGGGCUGAGCAUCUGGCCUUCUGGGUCUAUCUGGGAGGCAGGGCUGUCUCAGAUCUGGGGCCUUCUGAGAAAGAUGUCGAACCCAAGCUUCCUUGGGGAAGGAGGCAGAUGGACCCCAGAUCACUCUCCUGGGUGUGAAAUCAGCUUUGGGGGUGCCUUCGGGGUCGGGCAGAACUGGGCUCACCCAGCUCUCGCCUUUUCUGGCUGUGUCACUUGGGUGAGCUCCUGAGCCUCUCUGUGCCUCGGUUUCCCUGUUGAUUAGGUCAGGCCAAGGAUUAAAUGAUGGCAAAGUCGUACCACGCUGGCUGGUUUUGGGCCUGUGGGGAUUCUUCAUCAUUUCUUCUCUUUCUCCUACUGCAGCUCCAGGCUACCCUGAGAUUUGCCUGCUGGGUCUGGGCUUCAUGGCGGGGCCAGAUUGGUGCCUCGGAGCAGAGGGCACAGGACAGAGCGGGCACCAAUGCACGGGCAGGUUUCCAGGCACUUUGGGAAGAAAUAAGAUCCCACCCAAGAACCUCUCCCCAACUCUGGCCUUGGCUCGUCCUGGUUGUUUCCAAAAGUGAAAGAAGGCAAAAGAGUGAGCCGAGGCCCACCGGGAACAACAACAAAGACCCGGCCUCGGAGUGGCGGCAGCGCCGCGGCCACUGCAGGAGAGCUCUGGUUUCUAUUAGUGGGAAGCGACGGCUCCGUCUCAGGACAGAGCUUGGGCCAUCAGCCCUCGGCGGGUUAACCCUUCCCCACCUCACUGCUCUCACAGGCAACAGGCACCCCUGAAGCUGGGAAGUCCUGGGGCCGGGUUCAGCUGAGGACUCCCUGCAUCCUGCCACCACCACCAACCAUGCUGGCGCUCACACACACACACACAUACGCACGCACACACGCACACACAUGCCUACACACACCCACACGUCUCACAGACACACACGCACACUCACAUGCAUGCACACGUGCCCACACAUGCCCACAUGUCUCACACACACGCAUGCCCACACAUGCACACACACUUAUAUGUGCACACAUAUGCACAAUCCACACCAGCACACACAUGCACAUACACAUACACACACACAGACAUGCAUGCACAUACACACCCAUACAUGCAAACACAUAUUCCUACACAGGGACACUCCACGCCAGGGCCAUGUCAUCUGAGGCCAAAUGAAGAGUUGGCAGAGGAGGAAGGCCUGGAGAGGUAGCGUGGAGGCCAGAGGAGGCCCUGGUUGAGACGUGCUUGCUGGUUUGGCAGGUGGAGGGACUUGGGGACCAAGUAACCCGGCUCGGUCAAACAUUCUCUCCCCAGGCACGGAUGCUGUGUCCCUGGGGAGCCCAACCUCCCCAAGUGGAGCUUGGCUGAGACCCCUCAGCAGCUCCGAGGGCCCCUGUGGGUUGUGAUGCCAGAAACAGGGCCAGAGCUCAGAGGAGGCACAGGGACUACGGUUUCCGUUGAAAGACGGCUCAGGGUCACCGGGCUCAGCAGAGGGAGGGCGCUUCAGGGGCGGUGACCGGGUCGCUUUAGGAAGAUGGGUGGGGGGCACUCGACUCCCAAGGCUGAGGGAGGGGAAAGGUGUGUGCACACUGCAGGCAUCCGGCCUUUGGGCCCCAGAGUGUGCCGGGCAGGUGUCAUCUCCAUUAACAGCUGCAGCCGCUGUGGAGGUGGCUGCCACCAUGAUACCCAUCGUACAGGUGAGGAGGUGGAGGUAGGAAGGGCGUGGCCUGUCUCAACCUGACAGGGAUGUGUGUAUGUGGCCACAUGUUGACUUUUUGUUUUAAAAUUUGGAUUCUACUGGGGAAAAAGAUUACAAUAAAGUGUCUGUGCUGCACCCAGGAAGGCAUGCCCACUGGGUAAGGCUCGGCACCAAGCGGCCUCUCACUGUGGGUCAGGCUCGCAUGGGGCGGGUGUGCCUGGCCCCUGUGUGAACCUGGAGCUGGCCAUGGGGAGAGGCUGCUCUGGGGCUUUUCAGAGAAUCCGUGGUUGAUUCCCUCAAGGACUCCCUCAAGGGGGCCACGCUCCUCCUCCCUGGGUCCCCUCCCUGGCCCCCACCCUUCCCUUUCUCAGGUCCUCCCUCUGACAGUGGCUGUAGCCCUCUGCUCCUAGCCCAGGGCAGCCCUGGCCUCUGGAGUCACAGUCAUGUGUUCAAGUCUCGGCCCCUUUCCCAAGGUGAGCUGGUCCUGCAGGGAUGCGGGAAGUGUCAGAAUAUGAAAACAACCAGGACAAGGACAGCUCAGCUUACCCCGCUCCAGCACCUUCUCCAGGUCAAGCACUUGGCCAGCCCUGUAGCAGCCUCCUCAUUCCAUCUCUCUGGUGUUUUACAGAUGAGAAAUGAGCACAGAGAGGUUAGGAGCAUUGUCCAGUGCCACAGAGCUGGCAUGUGCUUGUCUGGGCUGAGAACUCUAUGAAGCCUUGGAAAUGCUCCCCACAUAUGGAGCAGUGUGUUCAGGCCCCAUGGCCUGACCGGGAGCAGGAGGGAAGGACAGGCUCAGGUCUCGCAUCCCGGGAAGAAUUUCUCCUCAGUGCACCAGGGAAUAUCGCCUGACGACGGAAUCAGGUUUCUUUCCCCAUGACCCCUCCACCAUUAGUGUUCCCAGAAAGCCAGGGGCUGCUGUGCCCAGAGGAGGUGCACCCUGGGAGCCCUGCCUGCAGGACGGGAAGCAGAGCCCCCUCAGAACAGAAACUAGGAACAGAGGAGGGACAAGGGAGGGAGGGCAGAAGGUCCGGUGCCCUCAGUUUCUAUCCAUCCUUGGGUCGGAAACCUGGGAUGGAAUGAGUGAGGAGCUGGGUCCACAGGGACAGGAACUGGGGGAUACCAGGGGCUAGGGCUGCUCAUCCUUUCCCAAGGAGGAGCCAGGGAAAAAUUAAGCUCAUAGGGAAUGUCGGGUUCACCGGGCCUGGCGGACUCCAGAUCCCAGAGGCAGGGCACCCACACAUCUCUCACCGGCACGCACCAGGGCCCCGAUAGCCGGGCACCAUCAUGGCGAAUUACAUUACAUUGCAUUACCCGGGGACCACUAUCAUGACCACGUUGGGAGAGGAAACUGAGGCACUAAGCUGCCAAAGUCACGCAGCCCACAACACUGGAAGGCAAAGCAGCCGUCUGGACCCCAGAACUGGAGCUGUCCCCUCACUGGGCGAAACCCAGAACCCAGUGUUUGCUUCUUUCUCAGAGUAGCAAGAAGACAUGGCAGAGCUGCCCUCAGGCUGGAGGCUUGCAAGCCGGAGGCGCACCACUGUCUAAGCAAACCAGGCACGAGGAAACGCAUUCGCAAGCCUGAGAAGAUGAGUGGCCAUCACUGGCAUCACCGAAAUGGCCUCCUCAACCGGACGGGAAGAAUCCCUCCCCCAGCUGACUCCCCGAGAUGCUCCAUGCCCCACGUUCCUGACCUCCUAGGGGAAGGAGCAGGAGGAACCCAAGGCCAUCAGAGGGGCCUGGACUGUGGGUGCUGCCAAGUCUGUAGGUGACCCGGUGACCAUCCCGGUUUGCAGGGGACCAAGAUUCUUUCUGGGAUGUGGUGCUUUCAGUGGCAACAAGAAGAGCCCCCUCGGCAGCCCUGGCAAUCCAGGACAGUGGGUCGCCCCCGCACGGCCUGACGCUGUGGCGUGGAGUCUCCAGCGGGGCAGCACUGGGUUGGAGGAGGGAGGAUGCUGCCAGCAUCACGGGGAGGUCACAUGCCAGACACUGGUGUCUGAUUUCCCCUUGAGAGAGGUUUCAUCACUGCCCCGUCCUUGGAAAGGGUCACCCAGUCAGACUACAGAGCCAGGACCAUGAUCCAAAGCUGAGCAGUGCCCACCAAAGACAGUGUUCCCAGUGCUCAGGAGCCCUUGGGCCUUUAUAAGGUGUCUACCGUGGGACUAAAAAAACACCUGUCCCCAGGUGACAGCAUGCUGCCUUUGAAACACAGCUCUGUGAGAACACACCUGGCAAAGGCAGUCUUGGGGGCCACGCGGCAGGGACCCCUUUCCUUUACCAACUCUCACAGGCUGAGCCGCUCUUGCUGUGAAUGUACGUGGCCUUGGUAUGUUCUCCAGCAAGAUUAUAAGUGGAGGAUGGAGUCAGCUGGGAAGCGAGGCUCAGAUCAAGGAGGGCUACUACCAGGAUCCCUGCAGAAACAGGGACACAGGGAGAGAUGGCUGUAAAAUCCUUGAGCUUUAAGGGGUAAGCUCAUGGAGCCCUGAAAAAUAUGACUGCAUUGCAAAUGCCAACUUGUAGACACAAAUAUCGUGGAAGCAGGCCACGUUCAGCCUUGCACACUGUGCGCUCUUCCAUGACUGAGAACGUUAGUCACCUGCACCCUGACCAACCUCUCAUCCCUGAAGCCUGCUGGGAGGUGUCUGGGGACAGGAACGAAAAUUUACAAUGUUCUUUGGUUGUUUAAUUUUGAAUUUUCUCCCUCAUUAUUAUUGAAACUGAAACAUCUAAGAGGACACCCAGAUUUAUCUGAAACCGGAAGAUGACACGUAUGAAGGAUCAAGCAUUCAUCACAAACACAGGCAGGCGAAGGAGACCAAAACACAGCUAGGACCAUGCCAAGCGUCGGUGAUGAUGUGGAGAAAUGGGGACCUGCCAGACACUGCUGGUGGGGAGGUGACAUGGUGCAGCCACUAUGGAAAAUAGUCCAGCAGUUCCUCGAAAUGGAAAGCAGGAGUCCCAUGACCCAGCAGUUCCAUUUUCAAGGAAGUCCCCAAGAGAAAUAGAAACUUACGUCUUCACAAAAGCUUGAAAAUACACAUUCAUAGCAGCAUGAUUCAUAACAUCAAAAAGCAGAAACAGCCCAAAUGCCCAUCAGUGGAUGGAUGGAUAAGCACAAUGUGGCCCCUCCAUACGACACAAUAUUACUCAGCCAUAAGAACGAGUGAGGUAGCGGCACAGGCCACAAAGUGGGCGAACCUGGGAACCACGGGACUGAGUGGAAGGAGCCAGUCACAAAAGGUCAUGGGCUGUCUGAAUCCAUUCAUUUGAAUUUCCAGACUAGGCAAAUCCACAGAGACAGAAAGUGGGUUGGUGGUUGCAGUGGCUGGGGGCAGGGGGACAUGGGGAGAGUGCGGAGUGAGUACUAAUAGGUGUGUGGUUUCUUUUUUCAGUGAUAAAAAUGUACUAAAAUUUAUUGUGAUGGUUGCACAAGUCUGUGGCUGAAAACCACUGAAUUGUACGUUUUAAUGGGGUGCAUUGUUUGCGUGUGAAUCACAUCUCAAUAAAGCUGUUUUUAAAAUGCAAUUAUUGCACAAUGCAAA
rnacentral:lncRNA from 1 species